AUUGAACGCUGGCGGCAGGCCUAACACAUGCAAGUCGAGCGAGCGGCGGACGGGUGAGUAAUGUCUGGGAAACUGCCUGAUGGAGGGGGAUAACUACUGGAAACGGUAGCUAAUACCGCAUACCAUCAGAUGUGCCCAGGUGGGAUUAGCUAGUAGGUGGGGUAACGGCUCACCUAGGCGACGAGCCCUAGCUGGGCUGAGAGGGUGAUCGGCCACACUGGGACGGAGACACGGCCCAGACUCCUACGGGAGGCAGCAGUAGGGAAUCUUCGGCAAUGGGCGCAAGCCUGAUGCAGCCAUGCCGCGUGUGUGAAGAAGGCCUUCGGGUUGUAAAGCACUUUCAGCGGGGAGGCGUUACCCGCAGAAGAAGCACCGGCUAACUCCGUGCCAGCAGCCGCGGUAAUUC
rnacentral:rRNA from 1 species